UAGGAAUCUCCACAAUGGACGCAAGUCUGAUGGAGCAACGCCGCGUGAGUGAAGAAGGUUUUCGGACCGUAAAGCUCUGUUGUUGGUGAAGAAGGAUAGAGGUAGUAACUGGCCUUUAUUUGACGGUAAUCAACCAGAAAGUCACGGCUAACUACGUGCCAGCAGCCGCGGUAAUACGUAGGUGGCAAGCGUUGUCCGGAUUUAUUGGGCGUAAAGCGAGCGCAGGCGGAAGAAUAAGUCUGAUGUGAAAGCCCUCGGCUUAACCGAGGAAUUGCAUCGGAAACUGUUUUCUUGAGUGCAGAAGAGGAGAGUAGAACUCCAUGUGUAGCGGUGGAAUGCGUAGAUAUAUGGAAGAAUACCAGUGGCGAAGGCGGCUCUCUGGUCUGCAACUGACGCUGAGGCUCGAAAGCAUGGGUAGCGAACAGGAUUAGAUACCCUGGUAGUCCAUGCCGUAAACGAUGAGUGCUAAGUGUUGGGAGGCUUCCGCCUCUCAGUGCUGCAGCUAACGCAUUAAGCACUCCGCCUGGGGGAGUACGACCGCAAGGUUGAAAC
rnacentral:rRNA from 1 species